AAUUCCUGUCUUAUUUCUGCUAACUUUCUACAAUUAAGUUGAUUAAAUUCCAUGAAAGAUAGAAUUUCUCGAUUAGAAAAGGAACGAUCCGUAUAGUCAUCGGAAAAACGAAAUUUUGAUUCUUCCUUGCAAACACAAAAACGAGACUCAUAUGAAGGAUUACCUACGUAUCUUCUUCAUUGUCAGCGUUUGGCACGCAACAUCCAUGUAUAAGUAGAUAUGAAGAUAAUAGAGAUAAGAGAGAUAUGAAAGUAAACCCUCCGUUUAUGAAAUCUUAAUACGUUUCAAAGUUGCCGUCAUUUAUUGUUGAAAACUUGAAACAGUGAAAGUGAAAAUGUUCCGGCAUAUCUUUCACCAGGGCAUCUUUACGCUUCUACAACAGGGAAUUGGGUAUGAUAACCACGUUAUGUGCAACGGACUUCCAGUUCAGUAACGUCUCACAAGCAACUAUAUGUAUAUCUUAGUUUUGUCUGUCGUUCUAGUCCUUCGACGUCGAUGCUUCCGCCAAGUGUUGAAAAUUACCUUAUGUGGAAAAGUGUAAACCUCAAUCAAGAUGGGAAACCUGAUGUACCGUGAGACUUUUGGAUAAUCGCUGCUCGUUCUUGUGACGCCAAACAACCGCUUUGUUUCUGGAAAAUCUAAAAAUGGAGUUGUAAAAUUAGCGUAUGAUCGUUCCUGCAUCAAAUGGGGGCAUGCGAUUAACAGUAAGAUCCAAUUAAACAAAACGCUUUAAGGAAAUUACAUGAUGAUUGAAGUGAAUGUUUCCAUGGGUACGUACCAUUGUUGAAGGUGAUGGAAAGAACUUACCAAUCAUGGCUCACCCACCUUUGAAAACUUCUGACCUGAGUCUGGAAGAAUUCAUCGACACAAUUAUAAGAAGUGGUACAAGUAAAGAAAUCAAACUUGAUUUCAAAGAUACAGAAGCUGUCCAUCCUUCUUUAGAGAU